UAUAAUCCGUGUCACCCAUGGCCUAGAGCACUUCUAACGUCUAAGCUCAAGCUACCAAGACCAUAUAGAAUGGCUCUCCCUCGUAAGGCCUCUAAAGCUUCGCUCGCAAUCACCAUCUUCACCGCAAUGCUGCUGAUGAUGAUGAUAUGCGCCGAUGCUGCCCCCGACUUUCAGAAGCUCGGGAGAAGGUUUCUUGAAGUAUCAGUACAACAGGACUACCCCGGAAGUUAUGGGACCGGAUGGGGAGCUUUUCUCCCUCCCACACAUCCAUAACCAUAGAUACUAAAUUGUCAAAAAAAAAUCCAAUAAAUCGAUCCCGAAGAUGUCACGAAAUAAUUUCUUUCUUCCUAUUCUAAUGUAAUAGUUCAUUAAAUAAACAUAGUUCGUAUGUAGAAUUGUAAUAAGGCUGAUCAAGGGGUACAUGUACAAGAGGGGAUAAGAUGCCGCGGACUUUGCUUGAA